rnacentral:snRNA from 1 species
GUGCUCGCUUUGGCAGCACAUAUACUAAAAUUGGAACGAUACAGAGAAGAUUAGCAUGGCCCCUGCACAAGGAUGACACACAAAUUUGUGAAGCGUUCUGUAUUUUU